AGAUGGCGACCGGCGCACGGGUGAGUAACACGUAUCCAACCUGCCGAUAACUCGGGGAUAGCCUUUCGAAAGAAAGAUUAAUACCCGAUGGCAUAGUUCUUCCGCAUGGUAGAACUGUUAAAGAAUUUCGGUCAUCGAUGGGGAUGCGUUCCAUUAGGUUGUUGGCGGGGUAACGGCCCACCAAGCCUUCGAUGGAUAGGGGUUCUGAGAGGAAGGUCCCCCACAUUGGAACUGAGACACGGUCCAA
rnacentral:rRNA from 1 species